rnacentral:rRNA from 1 species
UACGGGGGGAGCAAGCGUUGUUCGGAUUUACUGGGCGUAAAGGGCGCGUAGGCGGUCGUGACAAGUCACUUGUGAAAUCUCCGGGCUUAACUCGGAACGGUCAAGUGAUACUGUCGGACUAGAGUGCAGAAGGGGCAACUGGAAUUCUCGGUGUAGCGGUGAAAUGCGUAGAUAUCGAGAGGAACACCUGCGGCGAAGGCGGGUAGCUGGGCCGACACUGACGCUGAGGCGCGAAAGCCAGGGGAGCGAACGGG